UACGGAGGGUGCAAGCGUUAUCCGGAUUCACUGGGUUUAAAGGGUGCGUAGGCGGGCAGGUAAGUCAGUGGUGAAAUCUCCGAGCUUAGCUCGGAAACUGCCGUUGAUACUAUUUGUCUUGAAUAUUGUGGAGGUAAGCGGAAUAUGUCAUGUAGCGGUGAAAUGCUUAGAUAUGACAUAGAACACCAAUUGCGAAGGCAGCUUACUACACAACGAUUGACGCUGAGGCACGAAAGCGUGGGGAUCAAACAGG
rnacentral:rRNA from 1 species